CUGGUAGCGCUGCUCCUCGUCAGCGUCGGGCGCGAAGAGCAGCAGCUGCGCCAGGUGCGCGGGCUCCAGGCGCCGGGGCUCCAUGCUCAUGAGCACCUGCCGCAGCUCCGCGGGGCUCAGCUUCAGGGCUCAGGAAAUCAUCCACAGCAGUGACCCGGGGACCCAGCUGCUCACUCAGCACGUCCAGGAAGCGCUGCUGUUCAGUCGGGACUCAAGCUCUGCAUAGACGGCCGACAUCUUCAGGGAGAGGAGGCCAGGGUGGGAAAACUGAGCCCUGCUGGCAUCCUCACACCCAGUCCCGCCUUUUGGUCCAGAGCCUUACCGCAACUGAGGCUGGCCUCCAGACCUUGGGACCGGAGGCUGCGGCGGCACAUGGAGGAGGCCCUCAGGGAACUCCGCCGCUGGAGUUCCGGCACCGGCUCAGGCUCAGGCUCAGGCUCAGGCUCAGGCUCAGGCUCCAGGUCCAGCUCAGGCUCCGGCUCUGCUGUGCAACAUGAACAGGAGAUGGGCCCCUUGUGUUCUCAGCCAGUCAAAUGGCCUCCAAAUACAGGAGUGAAGGCAGCAGUUGUCUGCACCAAUCUGUGACCCCAGGCCCUGCUUCGCAUGUGGGGUAAGAUGCAAGAUUCCAGGUCUAGGCAGACAUAUGGAACAUUGCUACCCAGACUAUGUUCUGAGCCUCUUGCUAAAACCCUCGAGCCUCCUCCAGCAAAUUGUGGGUCCCCAGGACUAGGGACAGUGGACACACAAGGGCCAGAAUGUAGGAUAUCUGCAAGCUUUACCAUAGCAGGUGUAGAGUGCCUAGAACAAAUGCACAGUGUUUGGCACACUUUCGACUCCUGUGGCCUCAAUGAUAACAUGCAUGGUUGUAUGGGCACCUGGGGCCCACUGUAAGAGGUAUGAAGUAGUUGGAAACUGAGGCCGCAGAUGGUCUGGCAGGCCCUACUGUGUAUCUGUGUGCAUCAAGGCUCACCAAUCAGGUGUGACCUGGCUGUGUGCUUGCUAUCCAGCUCUGCAAACAGAAACCACAUGAAUUUCUUGAUCUGUGACAUAUUUCUUGGUGUGUGAUGUACAGCCACUGAGGUCACUUCCAUUCUGUGGGUGAGAAUCCUGGGGUUCCGGGUGGAUAGGUAGGGUGUCUAGAGUCCAAGGUAAUGUUGCAGUGCUACUUAAAGAUCAAACUGAAAAGGCACAUUUGUGGGGGCAAGUGUAGGACCAGCCUGGGUGCGGCCGGCAUGGGUCUGCAUGAUAUGGAGGUCCAUUUAUAUGUGGGAGAAGCCCAGGUCGGCUGUAAUCUGAGAACAGGUGUCUGGCUCUUCACCUGGUGGGCUGGAGAGGGGGAGAGGCUGCUUACCUGUCAUGGCUGUGUAGCCCAGGAAACAUGCAAUUUUCUCCUGGCAGAGCUCCUGCUCCUCGUAAGUCAGCAGCUGGUAGAUGAACUGCCAAAGGACUUGCUUGGCAGGUGUGUCCAGCACAGGGUAGACAUCCACAAUGAGGGUGUCAAUGUUCCUGGGGAAAGGUGCAGAAGCAAGGGGUUCAUUUCUCAGGGGCUCAAUGCAGGGGAGGGAGAGAGGGAUAUGGGGGCACUGCAGGCCAUGGAACCCACCCCGGCCAAAACAGAGAAGUGAGGAAAGGUAGGAAUGCAGGCCCUGGUGAUGGGCCACCCUGAUUCAAAUCCUGGCUCUGCCACUUACCAACCAAGUGACCUUUCUCAUACUUAAUUCCAUUGUGCCUCAGUUUCCUCCUCUGUAAAACAUGGAUAAAAAUAGCAUCUACCCCAUAGAGUCGCUGUAAGAUGAAAACACACACACACACACACACACACACAAAAAAAAAAAAAAGAAAAGAAAAGAAAAUACACAGUGCAUUGGGCAAGUGGAUUCAUUAUAUCAGGGAUUGGUAAAUGAUGGCCUGCAGCCUAAAAUCUGGCCCACCUUCUGUUUUUGUAAAGAAAGUUUUAUUGGAACACAGCCAUGACUGUGUAUUUAUCCAUUGUCUGUGGCUGUUUUCGAGCUACAAUGGCAGGGUUGAAUAGUUUCUGUGGAGACCAUAUGGCCCACAAACCCUAAAAUAUUUAACAUGUGGCCCUUUGUAGAAAUAGUUUGCUGAUCCUUGGACUAUAUGGGAAAAUAAAACUGGAUCCUCUCGUAACACCACACAUAAGGAUGAACUCUAGGUGGCUAAAAGACAACAUAUGAAGGGCAAAAUUGUAAAAUAAAUAGAAACAGUGCAGAAAAAUAUCUUUUGGCCAGGGGUGGGGGGUGGGGUGGAGAGAGAGUUCUUAAAAUUUCAAAAGUCAAAGCCAUAAGGCCCAAAAUGUACUGAAUUUGAUUUUACAAAAUCAAGGAUAUCUGUUCAAAGAAGCCCACUUUUGGCACAUUGAUAUUAGAUAUAAAAGAAAUAAUAACAAGAAAAGUGGAAGAUGUUUACAAUGUCUAAAAUCAACAAGCAACCAGUGUCUAAAAUAUACAAGGAACUCCUCCAAAUUAACAAGAACAAAAAGCCCGUAAAAUAAAAAUGCAUUAAGGGUCUAAAAAGGUAUUCUAUAGAUAAACAAAAAAAGCUAACAAGGCUAUUAAAAGAUAUUUAAAAUAGUAAUUUAAAAGCCCAAAAUAGUGGGAUACCUGGGUGGCUCAGUAGUUGAGCAUCUGCCUUUGGCUCAAGUCGUGAUCCCAGG